GUCUGGUGCCAGCAGCCGCGGUAAUUCCAGCUCCAAUAGCGUACGUUAAAGUUGCUGCAGUUAAAAAGCUCGUAGUUGAACGUUCGGGUUCCGCGGGACGGGGCCGCCCCGCGAGGGACGGCGCCGCCCCGGGGCUCGUGAUAUCUCAUCUCGCCGCCCGUCGCGAGGCGGACGGAGGGAUGGAUGAGGUUACCUGGAAAAAAUCGGGGCGAUCUAGGCGGGCGAACCUCGCCAACGAACGAUCGGACAUGGGAUAACGGAAGAGGGCGUCGGCUCGACUUCGUCGGUUCCUCGGGCCGAGGCACGUACGGUGAAUAGGGACGGUCGGGGCCGCCCGUACCGGGUCGUGAGAGGUGAAAUUCUAGGAUCGACCCGAGACGAACCGCCGCGAAAGCAUUCGGCAAGGACGCUUUUCAUUAAUCAAGAACGAAAGUCGGGGAUCGAAGACGAUCAGAUACCGUCGUAGUCCCGACCGUAAACGAUGCCGACCGAGGGCCCGGAGGAGUUACGUACGACCCUCCGGGCCCUCCCGCGA
rnacentral:rRNA from 1 species